rnacentral:pre_miRNA from 1 species
AGUUGCCGGAGCAUUGCACAACAAUUUUUAUGUAUGUUGUGCGUGCGACAGCGACUUC